GAGGGACUGAGGAGGAGGAGGAGGAAGAAGAGGAGGGAGAAGGCGCGCUUUNCCACAAACAUUUAGAAAAGAAAAAUCCGGCGGCAAGGAAAGAACCGGAAAGCAAACGCGCGGCUGACUGCCCAUCCAGACGCCCCGCGGAAAGCGCCGAUCGCCCGCUGCCCGGCCCAUCUCUCCGCGCUCCAGGCGCUUCUUCCUUACCUGCGAUCUCCUGAUAGGGGAUGUUGAGCAGGCUGAAUCCCUUGGUUUUGUACGCCUCCCUCACUUCGCCGCAGCUCCGAGCUCUCACCACGUCAGCCGCUCCGGCGCCGAGGGAGAGCAGCAACAGCCCGAGGAUCGCCCAAAGCAGCGCCCCGAUCCAAGGAACCAUGGUGCACAAGGAAAGGUGCAGGAGGAGGAGGGGGGAGAAGAGAGACCCCUCCUCCUCCCCCAAAAAUCCACUUGCGGAGUAAAUCCCAAGGAGUCGUCUUCCAAAAGAAGAAAAGCUUUCCAGUGCCCAGCGCGAUUCCAAACAGAGCCCACCCCUGUGGGGAGCAACAGCGGCAACCAAGGAGACACCCCCUCCCUCCCUCCCUCCCUCCACGUAAGAGCCCAGGCAAACUUUGCGAAGCCGACUGGGGAAGACGAUGAGCCCAGCAGCGACUCCCUCCCGCCCCUUCUCUGCCCGCCCUCCUUCCCCUCCCUCUCCUGCUUGGCCGGUCCGGUGAAAGUCCAGCGGCGGGGCUCAGAGCCGCCGCGGCGGGGGGGACAUCGGAGGCUUCCUGAGAAUUGCAGGUUCAUGCCAUUGAAAACUCCAGCCAAUGAAUUUGCUACAAUGAUAGAUGACAAUACAGUGAUCUCACCUGACAAUCACCAUAAGAAGCCACCUUAGAUCAGGGAUUUAAUCAUCUAUGAUAAUUACUAUUACUACUACCUACUCUGACUCAAGCAAAAUCCACACUGCACAUUUAUGAUGGCAUGAAGGAUCCUGAACAGUGUGGGGAUCACAUUUUUCCACAUCCAUCCUGCUGCAGAGGGGUGGAAAGUGUCAUCAGAAGCACUUUUCAUGCCAGGUGUGAACAAGCACUCUGAUGGUGCUUUUGGCAAUUGUCUUUCACCAUAAUUGCUUGUGGAUGGAUCGUGGUAGCUGUAAUGACAUACCUGUACUGCUCUUUGCCCACGGCUAUUUAGCAGGGUGCUGAAAAUGGCUGAAUUCCAGGGAUAUUUCUUGUGCUUCUUUUUUUCUACAACCAUUAGAAAUAUAAAAGCCAGGAAGUUCUAGGACUAGAGCAAGUGAUCCAGCUCUAAAAGCAGCCAAAUUUACUGGCAUGCAGAUCCUCCUGGCUCACUGCUGAACUUUCAGGAUCUUAAGAUACAGAAGUUUCCCACUACUUUCUAUUUUGUUUUUUUNCCCCCUUAAACUAGAGAUGUCUAUAUUCUAACAGUGCGUUUUGGUAUGACCUCAAACUACUUACUUGAUUUUUACAAGACCACAUUGAUCUAUUUGUUGUUGUCUACCACUUAAGUUGUGACCGACUCCUGGUUGACUGCAGAGAUACAGAAAUGGUUUACCAUUGCCUAUGUCUAGAGGCUGGGGAUCAAACUGACAACUGUCUGCUUUCCAGGCAGUUUCUCUACCACUGAACUGCAGCCACUCCCAAUCUAAUAUAUAGUAAAUGUGCAGUUUCCUAGUUGUAUUCAUAAAGAAUGGAUAAACAAACAUUUUUCUCCUUCUCUACAUUUUACCCCUUAAUAGCAGAGAAACUUUGAAAAACCUUGAUUUUAGGGAUCUUCUGAUCCCCUCUCCCCAUCAUUUCUACAGGAAUAUCCACCUUUAUGCAUUCUGUUAUAAGCUUGGAGUUCUUCUGUAAAAUAGAAAAAUCCCAUAUUUUAUAAAGCUACAGAAUAUUCAUUUCAUAUUUGAUUUAGAUUCUUUUUUAAAAAAAAGAAAUAUAUGAAAAUAAAAAAUGUAUUGAAAAACUAUUACCUAUUCA
ensembl:lncRNA